GAGACUCGAUGAGUUAUACAAGCACUCCAGCACCGACAAGAGUGCUAUGGUGGAGUGAAUUUAAGCGAUCAUUCACUUGGGACAUGAUUGAUGAGAUGGAAA